rnacentral:rRNA from 1 species
AACCUGCCCGUGCACCGGGAAUACGCUCUGGAAACGGAGAACAAAUCCCGAUGUACAGGAAGGAGGCAUCUUCUUUCUGUGAAACAUCCUUUAGGGGAUGGGGCGCGGAUGGACCUGCGGUGCAUUAGUUGGUUGGCGGGGUAAAGGCCCACCAAGACGAUGAUGCAUAGCCGGCCUGAGAGGGCGGACGGCCACAUUGGGACUGAGACACGGCCCAGACUCCUGCGGGAGGCAGCAGUAGGGAAUUUUCGUCAAUGGGCGCAAGCCUGAACGAGCGAUGCCGCGUGAGUGAAGAAGGCCUUCGGGUCGUAAAGCUCUGUUGCGGGGGAAAAAAGGCAGCAUCAGGAAAUGGGUGCUGACUGAUGGUGCCCCGCCAGAAAGUCACGGCUAACUACGUGCCAGCAGCCGCGGUAAUACGUAGGUGGCGAGCGUUAUCCGGAAUGAUUGGGCGUAAAGGGUGCGCAGGCGGUCCUGCAAGUCUGGAGUGAAACGCAUGAGCUCAACUCAUGCAUGGCUUUGGAAACUGGAGGACUGGAGAGCAGGAGAGGGCGGUGGAACUCCAUGUGUAGCGGUAAAAUGCGUAGAUAUAUGGAAGAACACCAGUGGCGAAGGCGGCCGCCUGGCCUGUUGCUGACGCUGAGGCACGAAAGCGUGGGGAGCAAAUAGGAUUAGAUACCCUAGUAGUCCACGCCGUAAACGAUGAGGACCAAGUGUUGGGG